CCAGGCCAGAGCCUGCCCUGCCCUGACCCUUGCCUGGCUCUCCAGAGCCAAGGCGUUCACAGCUUGAGGUGGUUUGGCCUGGGACUCUUGAGAACAUUGCAUAUUGAAUUACAAGUGUUUCGUUUCCUAGCAAGGACUCUUUAGCAACAUAAAAAUGAGCGUGUGUUAUUUGCAAACCUCUGAAUCAUUACUCAACCUGAAUAUCCCUAACUUUUUGCAAGGUGGAUAUGGAGAUUCCACAGUGCCUCAGUAAAUUCAAAGUCUCUCAAGCAGCAAAGUUCCAGAAAGGCAGUUCUGCAUGUAUGUCAACACCGCAAAUCAUGGGGAUCACUUCUGAAGAUAAAAAGGUCUGCCCUUCAGAAUGUACCACACUCCCUGAAAGCAGGGGCCUGACCACUCUUCUGCCCUUCCCUGCUCCUCUGAGGAGUGAAAGAACUGCAAACCUGUGAUGCAAGAAUCAAAAAGGAAGUAAAUAGUUUUGGCAAUCUGAAGAGAAUCACAAGUUUAGUGCAGUGGGUAGCAGUGCCCUGAAGGAUGCACAGGACAGCAGUGCCCUGAAGGAUGCAGAGGAAGGCAGUGCCCUGAAGGAAAAGGUGUCUGGCUGGACAGCUAAAAGAACACACAUCCAUAUCUAGUACCUUGACCAUCAAGGUUGGGUGAAGCCCAGCUCUUCAGUGAUGCUUCGGGAGGUUUGCCUAUUCUGAGAUCUGUUUCUUCAGCUAUUGACUCACAGCUGCUGAACGUUUGCUACUUUGCUUCCUAAAGAUAAGACCUCCUAUAGAGAGUCAACGAAGUCUGUCCCAUCACCAUGUGGAGGCAGGACCAAGGCCUUCCCUUCCUGUGUCUUGGCUGAGCAAGCAUCUCCAAAAGAACGGAGCACCUAUUAGUCACAGGGAAACAUCUGUAAGAUGUAGCAACUGGUGUCACCUCUGUGUGGAUCACAAGGUUCUUGGCAAUCGCUUCCAUACCAGACCAUCUGCUUGGACAUCCAAAAAGGAAGACUCGUGUGUCAACAAGCACAUGGAGUGAAGCUUAAAAUCCUUGGAACAGAGAGGCAGAGUUUAAAUGUUUACUAGCUGGCUUCCUCCAAACACUUAAGCAUAAAGAAUGUCUAAUCUAGUAAGAAGACUUUCUCCCCAGCCAAAUUGGGAACCAGGGAAAGAAAGUUCAGAUGUUCUCACUCGUUUGAACUCCUUGUCCUUCCUCUGCCUGAGUGGUGGGACUACAGACAAGCAAGUGCCAUCCUGUUAGUGAGAGCAGUUGUUUGGGAGCUUGCUUGUGACUGCUGGAGACUGUAUCCAGGGCCUGUGCAUUACAGGGAAGUCCAUCCUCAGGAUUUAAAAUGCAAGACUAAAAGAACUCAGAGGAGAGCAAGUUUAUUCCACCUUACAGGUGACAGUUCAUCACAGAGGGAAGUCAGAGCAGGAACUCGAGGCAGCAACCAUAGAGAAGUAGUACUUGGUAGCUGGCUUGCAGACUCAUGCUUAGCUGAUGUUCUUUUUCAGUCCAGGACUACUUGCUUAUAGAAUGGUGCCACCACAACUGGCUGGGCCCUUCCACAUCAAUUAACAAUGAAAACAAUCAGUUCCCUCCAGAUACAUCCAUGGAGUAAUAGGAGCUGGGCAAUCCCUCAGUCAAGACUCCUUUCUCAGGUGACUCUAGGGCUGUGUCAAACUAAAGCUAAUUAGGAAAAUAUUUAUGCAACAUAUUAGGUUUUGGGAACAAGGUAUCAUACUGUAGCCCAAGCUGCCUUCAAAUUCAGGCAAACCUUCUGUAUUUGCCUCCUGAGUGAUGAAAUUACAGCUAUGAGUCACUGUCCCUGCCUAUAUUUUGAUUUUAUGUCGCUCAUUUGUUUAUUGUUGAGAAUGUGUGCUUGGAAAGAGUUAUGUAUCUCUGAAUUUGAGGAAAGUCCAAAGCAAAGUUUCUCAUGAUCCAAAAUAGAAAUUUACAUCUCCAAUGAAGAAAGCAGGUUCCCCAGACAUCAUCCCUCACUUUGGUGGAAGGAUGGUGAGCAGCCCAAAGGUUCACAAAGGUGGAGGCUUCUUCUUUGCAGAUGCACUUGGAGGCACAGCAUGCUUGAGUCUUACCCUACCACUCACUGAAGAGCUCUGCUUGAAGCACAUCUCCUGGGCAGGGCUCCUGUAGAAGAACUGAUCAUGAAUUACUUCAUCUAAACUGGGUGAUAAUGGAUGAUAUUGUGUGAGUCUGCCUCAAGAGAUAUUGUAGAAAGGUGAGGAUCUCAUUGGAGGCACAAAGUCCAUCAGCUAUAGUUCUUCAGUACUCAUCUGGAAAUGCAGAUUGAGUGAGUCACCCUGGAUUCAGAAUCAUGGAAUUGUGUAUACCUGUGGAAUAAAUGUGCAGUCAUAGAUGACCAUCUUCAACACUGAGACAACUUGGACAUUUGAAGACAUGGGAAAGAUUUGUUUUAUAUUACUCAACUUUCUUCAGCAUCCAGGAAAUUGCGAAGGAUACUGAAAACAAGUGCUUCUCUACCAAGAUGAAUACCAGCUGUAGACUCUGGUCUGGCUGUGGAAAAUCCCAGAGGCGAUCUAGGAAUAUCUUGGUUAGGGACCAAUGAUUAGGUUGUCGCCACCGUCAUCCUUUGGUGACACCCUCUCUCCCUUUGAUGGUUUCUUUCUCACUCAGGCCUCCAGGGUCAUUCAUUAUAUUAGUGGUUCAUGGCCUAUUUGAUCCAACAAGGCACCCAGCAAGGAUGUUCUUCAACAGUCAAAGAUAGUCCUACUGUGCCCUGGAAUUCCUUUCUUGACUUUGUUUCCUAAAGUAGAAAAGAAAUUCUGAAAGGGAGGAGUCUAGGUUGCUCUUACAUAUGUUUCAUGGGCUAUUUCUUUCUCCUUCUCCAAGGAAAAUUCAAAUAAUAAUUUAAACGUGGGGCAGGAGCCAUGUUUAUUGUUUCCUGGAUACAGAUGUUAGGAACUCUCAUUUAUUCCUUGUUGAUUUUGUUAACAGGGGAGGGUGUAGAUUACAUCCUACUACUUUUUCCAACAAACUGCCUACAAAGGCUGCUCGCUCAAGGACCAAAAGGGAUUAAACAGAGCCUAGGAGUGGCAUACUGCUUGCCUACCAGCACAUGUGUGUUAACUCUCCAAUACUGCAAAUAAUAAUAACAAGAAUAAAUUGUUUAAAAAGGAAGAAGCUGGGACAUAGACAGUGUAUAUAUUUUAUUAGUCCUAUAUGGAGUGAGAUCCAUUAGGUUUGGCCUCCCAGAGAAGAUAGGACUUUACCUGUACAUUGAGAUGGAGUUGUGUUUGAGCACACAGAGAGGAGAGGAUUAACACCACAUGUCAUUCAGUUACUUAAACAAAAGUCCAGAAGGGGAAGCAAGCACCAUGAAGGUUCUGAGACCUGAAAUUGAAAAUGCAGAGACUACUGAACGACCUUAUGAAAGAAAUAUAUGAAAACCAUUACAGCAAGUAAUUUACCACAUAAAAUGCACUCCUGUUCAGCUCUUAGCAGGACUGAAAUAAUUCUCAAAGCAAUUGUUUUCUUUUGGGGGGGAGAAGAGUUGUUUGUUUUGUUUUUCCAUAUAGGGCUUCUUUGCAUAACAGCUCUGCCCAUCCCAGAACUCGCUUUGUAGACCAGGCUGACCUUGAAUUUAAGAGAUCCUCCAUUGAAGGCAUGCAUCACUACUGUCCAGCUGCAGUUUCUUUCUUUUAGGAGAGCAUUUAAAAGAUAUCACUGUGGCCUGGAUUGUGCCCUCCCUGUUAACUAGAACUGGUGGUUAUUGAUUUGGAUUAAACUUCCACACUAUGCCCUGAUAGAUCAAACCCAUUACUGCUCAGUGUCACACACUGGAAUGUUAAGGGAACAGAUAACACCGAAUAGACAAGUUUUUCCUGGGAAAAGGAGACCCAUAGCCAUAAACUGGAAAGGGCCCUGGCAACCAAAUCAUGGUAAUAAGGAAGUCCCCUUUGCUUAUGCCCUUACCAGAAAAAUUGCUUGUAGUAACCUGACUGAAGUUAUCAGUCUGCUUUUGUUGCAUGCCUGUUUCCUUCUUUCUGCCAAAAUCCCAGCUGGCCUAGGCCUAGUCAAGCACACUUUGUUUUAUUCUAGAAUCCUGAAGAAAAGGCAACUAGAACUUUAAAGUACAUUGAUUGUGGUUUUUCCUUUUAACCCAAAAUGUGGAUGUUGAAUACCCCCACCCAUCCCCACACUCCUCUUGCACAACCAACAGGCCACUUGUGUAUACAGCAAAAGAGCCUGCACCUGCAGGAUGAUCAAAGAGGCUUUGGAAUGAGACCUUCCUUAUCAUUCCACUUGACCUUGGACUACUGCUUCUGGAACUGUGUGACGUUGUCUGCUGUUGGGACUACCCAGUUUGUGGUAUUUGCUAUGGCCCAUGCUGACGAAGACAAGUACAUAUUACAGUAUUCCAAAAGACUACCUCUCCCAUGAGCUGCUGGAGAAGCUGAUGGGAGAUUGGCUAUUGACCUCAGUCUCCAGUUAGGCUCAUCAGCCUCACACCUGGAAAGAAGCAAGCUCCUGACUCAGGGGGAUAAAGAGUUGCUACACAUCCAGGAGCUGAUCUCUAACAUAAAGGGCAAAGGUGAUGUUCUCUCUUCUAGGACUGCUCUGCUCAUCUGUCCCAAGCUCUCUGUAAGGAUGCAAGAAGGGGGCUCUUGCUCAGUUAUACUGCAUAGUUACCACUUCUCCAGCUAGCUGAGAAUUUAGAGUCCCUUUAUUUGAUUCUGUCUAAUGAUGGAGGAAUACAUGUCCAGACUCUUUAGAAUGUAGCCAAAGAUCUGCCCGAGGUCACCUAACCACCAUGUUGGUGAUAUAGAUCCCCAAAGCCUUUAUCACCCCAAGUAAGAUUCCUAUGUUUUCCUACCUGACCAGCUGCUUAAUCACAUUUAAUAGAAAUGACAAGAUAAAAUUUAUCUGAUGAUUUUUACAAAUGUGCCUGGCAUUGUGCUCAGCAUCUCUAGUCCUCCUCUCACUGAAUACUGUCUACAAAUUGAUGAACCAGUGAUAACGAUCUCCAUUUUUCAGAUGAGAAAAUACUUAGAUAAGCUAAGAAAUAGGCCCAAGGUCACACUUUAAAGUGAAUGCAGGCCUCAAACUCACCCUGAAAGCAUCACAAUAUAAAUGUGGGUUAAGUAAGAAUGAAGACCCAGAACACCAGCUGACAAAUAUAAUUAGUUGUAUUUCAAAAUUCUAUUCAACAUUCUCAAAAUUUCAGAAGCUAACUAACCUAACAUGUUAAAUGUCUCGUCAUCAGUAGUUGAAAUAUAUCGCAUUCCAUUUCUCAGCUCUCCCACCUCUCAUUUUCAUCUGCCUGCCCUCCCUCCUU